GCCUUAGACCGCUGCGCCACUCGGGAAUAGGGUGCCAGACAGGGAGAGGUUGACUCCAGGUAAACAACACAUUAUGUCUGGGGGCAGUAGACAGGGAGAGGUCGACUCCAGG